GUGCUCCGGGGGGUGGGGCUGCGCUCUCUGGUGGAUCAAAGCAAGUUCAAUAUAACGCAGUUUUACCUAUAAGGCGGUAAGAUUUUUGACUCCCUAGGACAGCGUUAUAUCAAGGUAGAGGUGUACUUAUAAUUAUAA